UCCUUUUUCUCCCUGAAAUGAGGAGCAACCUGAUUAACCCUGAGCCCUCUUAGAUCCUAAAAUUCAGCAAUCUAACCUUACACCCCUUAAAAUUUUGCUUCAGUGUUGGUCAAGGACUUAAAAAGAAUGGGGACUUGUGACAAAGCUCCCAAUAUUUAUGAUGGGACCAGAAUGUUAUCCAAAAAGGUUGAAAAUGCUGCAAUCAUUUGGUGCAUCGUUCACUAAUAUUAGCCAUUUUGAGCAGUCAGAGACCUCACUGAGGUUUGCUUCUGCAGUCCAUUCAGUAAUCACAACACAAGGGCUAGUGGGCACCAACUCACACUGGCAUUUUCAAGGCAAUAUGACAGCUGAGGACCCACAGUGCUUGAACAGUGUGGAACAGGGCAUCACAAUGGUCUCCUUCCUCAGAAAAGGCACAGCUGAGCAGCAGAACACUGCAAUCUUCCCCCCCAGAUCUUGGACCAGAGAAGAAACCACAUCACUGCACCUCAGCUGGGGACAUUCUGCACCUCGUGGCAUAUGGUAGACCAUGACAUUGUCUUAAAAGUUGGAAAAAUAAUACUUGAAAAGUCUCUACCCCCUAUGGGACUUGGGGAACACUAAACCAUGUCCAAGUUCUCACCUCAGGUGAAGCCUUUGGUGCUCAGACUCUUUGUAGUGAACUUGUGCUAGGCAGCUCACAUGCCAGGCUUUUUUUACCUACUUGUCUAGAAUAGUAUAAUAAUGUUUAAAGAGCAGCACAGUUGGCUGCAGCUGGCCAGUAACUCAGCUUUAUGGUAUCUGAGCAGAAAAUUGAGUGAGGCAGGGAAUCAGGGUGUACUAGCACAUACACAUAACAUAUUUCA